UAGGGAAUUUUGCGCAAUGGGCGAAAGCCUGACGCAGCAACGCCGCGUGAUUGAAGAAGCCCUUCGGGGUGUAAAGAUCUGUCAGUGGGGACGAAACUUGACGGUACCCACAGAGGAAGCACCGGCUAACUCCGUGCCAGCAGCCGCGGUAAUACGGGGGGUGCAAGCGUUGUCCGGAAUCAUUGGGCGUAAAGAGUUCGUAGGUGGUAUGUUAAGUCUGGUGUUAAAGUCAGAAGCUCAACUUCUGUAAGGCACUGGAUACUGGCAAACUAGAAUGCGGUAGAGGUAAAGGGAAUUCCUGGUGUAGCGGUGAAAUGCGUAGAUAUCAGGAGGAACAUCGGAGGCGUAAGCGCUUUACUGGGCCGAAAUUGACACUGAGGAACGAAAGCCGGGGUAGCAAAUGGG
rnacentral:rRNA from 1 species